CACCAUAGGCUGGCCCUAGCUCUUUAUUUUUAAUUUCAGUUUUCAUUUGGUUUUACUUUUAUUUAUAGUACUUUUUCAGUAUCACAAAUGUUGAUGUUUUUAUGUGACUAAAUCCAUUCAACUUUUUCAUUAUGAAUUUUUGCAUUAUGAUUUUUGUUUUAUUACAGUAUAUUGUAAGUUUUUUAUUGUUGUUAAUUUCUUACUGUGCCUAACACAAAUUAAACUUUAUCAUAGGUAUGUAUGCACAGGAAAAAUCACAGUACAUAUGGAGUUCAGUUAUAUUCGUGGUUUCAGGCAUCCACUGGAGGUCUUGGACCGUAUCUCCCAAGGAUAAGGGGGCACUACUGUACACCAAUUUUACAGAUGAGGACGGUGUAAACCCCGUCUCUACUAAAAAUAGAAAAAUCAGCCAGGCGUGGUGGCAGGCGCGUGUAAUCCCAGCUACUUGGGAGGCUGAGGCAGGAGAAUCGCUUGAACCCGGGAGGCAGAGAUUCCAGCGAGCCGAGAUUGCGCCAUUGCACUCCAGCCUGGACAAUAAGAGUGAAACUUCGUCUCAAAAAAACAAAAAAAAAAAUGGUUUUAGAUUUACAGAAGAAUUGUGAGGAUAGUACAGAGUGCCCAUUUACCCCACACCCAGUUUUUCCUAUUAUUAACAUCUUAUUAAAGCCCAUACUUUAUUCUGA